rnacentral:misc_RNA from 1 species
UACGGAGGGGGCUAGCGUUGUUCGGAAUUACUGGGCGUAAAGCGCGCGUAGGCGGCCUGUCAAGUCGGGGGUGAAAGCCCGGGGCUCAACCCCGGAAUUGCCUCCGAUACUGGCAGGCUGGAGUACGGGAGAGGAGAGUGGAAUUCCCAGUGUAGAGGUGAAAUUCGUAGAUAUUGGGAAGAACACCGGUGGCGAAGGCGGCUCUCUGGACCGUUACUGACGCUGAGGCGCGAAAGCGUGGGGAGCAAACAGG